ACAAACUUGGUCAUUUAGAGGAAGUAAAAGUCGUAACAAGGUUUUCGUAGGUGAACCUGCGGAAGGAUCAUUAUCGAGAUUUGCGCAAGCAAAAAUCAUUCAACACUUGUGAAUAUAAAAAUUUUUGCUUUGGCUGUGCUGUCGCAUGGCCAAAAUUUUAAACACCGAGAUUUAACUUUGAUAUCUGAAUUGAAAAUUUAAAUAAAUUAAAACUUUCAACAACGGAUCUCUUGGUUCUCGCAUCGAUGAAGAACGCAGC
rnacentral:misc_RNA from 1 species